ensembl:lncRNA
GUUCAGCUGUGUCGCGGUGGGCUUGGCAGGCGGAGCGGCGUGCAACAUACGUCUCGCGGCUGCUCCCCUGGCUGCGCGAGGCUGCGCACAGCGUACCAUUCUGAAUGAUACCCACGCGCCCUGUGCUCGCUCCCGCCACAAACUGGAUUCAUUGGUUAUCGACGCGCGCGCUCCGCAAGUUGCCGUACAACCAGGGGAUUGAACCGUUCACUCGUUCCACGUUAAGUUUUCACCUCGUAAAGGGCGUCCUUAGAGCCUACGGGACUUUGUUGAAUUUGUUUGUGUUAAGAGCCGAGAGAGCGCCACGUUAAACCUCCCGGGGUGAAAGUAUUUCAUUGAGGAUGGUCAGUAAAGUGAUUUAAAUCCGCCGUUCAUGAGCCGUGUCCUGUGGGAACGGUUUUGUUCGCGGCUCGAUAAUGACGAGGGGGCUGCCGGGGUCGUUGCCUACGGUUUAGCACCAGUCGUUUGAAACGUCUUUUCGGUGGAGAAUGAUCUCCGAAGUGUUUUUGCUCUGAUGGAUGAAGCCGUGCUGGUGGAUCCGCUGUUGAAGACGCCGAGGGGAGAUAACAGCAGCAGCACAACACUACAGAGCGACAGCGAAAGCUAAGCCCAUCGACGCCGACGUUAACAUCAGGUCACCCGCUCUGUUCUGACCCAUACAGAGAAUGGAGGUUGAACAGUUUGGGGUUCCCAUCAGAAUAGAGCACCCUUCUUUGUCUUGUACAAGUUCCACUUAAAAGUCAGCCACAGACUGAGAGCUGGACGAUGGUCCUCAAACUGAUGGAUGGGGGUAGCUGUAUUCAUGAACAAAAAACACCGUGGUCAAUGUAGAUGAGGUCCUUGGCAAGGAACAGAGAGAUUUGUGUCCUCCAGGUCUUUCUGCUGUGGCAUGAAGGAAUUGCGUCCGCAACAUUUAAGGAACGGGCUCAAAUGACUCAUCAGUUUAAUGGCCUGUUUUCUUAUGUGGCUUAAUUUGUACAGAUCGAAGGCCUUAUGGGUCUAUACUUAUUUGUUGUGCUUUUCUUGUAAUUCCUUUUUGUCUCAUACUCAUUCGACCUUUGAUGCAUUCAAAAUGGGUUUGUUUUCAAGAAAACAAUCUGUUUCCUUGGCAUGUACUUAUAUGGUGGUCAUUUUAUCAAGAGAAUAAAUGAGUAAGCAUGAAUUGUACGUACCAUAACCACAAGACUUCCAGUGCAACAUCACCACAUAACUUGUCGUUCUGGAGAGGAUUAAUCAUUGCUCCUGCUUGCUCUGUAAAGGAUGGCUGACAUCAGGACAUUCAGUAACAGGACUGUGCAACCUUGUCUCCGAUGCCCUAUUACUGACACAAUCGCCAAUCAAUUCCCCCUGAAAACAAAUGGCUGUGAAAAAGCGUAUUAAGAUUUGUGGCAUUCAUAGUGAUUUACUGUCCCAAGCCUAGCCACUCGUAACACAGCCGAGAAUUGAUUUGUUUUUCUUAUCUGUGUAUGAAUGAAGCUUAGCCUAGUGUUGCAUAUGUUAUGUCAUGUUUUGUACGCAUCUUCUGUCAGGAUAAGAUGCAAUAAAAUAUUGUUGCUUACGGUAAGGUGGGGGCUGUUAAUUCUUUACUCUGGUAUGGUCUUACCAGGAAUCCUCACUGGUUUGGUCCUUUUUAAUAGUUU